ACCUAUGAAGAAAUGCGUUCCAAUUUUUGUUUCUGUCAUUUGACACGUGGAAAUUUUUUAAUAUGUUCAGCUGUUUUAAAACAGAUGAUAAGUACGCUCUUUCUGUGUUGUUGUUGCAUCUUUGCAAUUUUCGUUUAUACCUGUUUCCUUGACCAGACAUGAAUUUGUUUAACUGAACUUUUUGGGAAGCUUGUUGAAUUAUAUUGCAAAUUAUUUCUCCGAAUUUCUGUGUCAACCCAUUUACUUAUGUCAUUCCAGUUGGCAAGAUGAUACAUUGGGACUAGUUUUGUUCUUUGAAUAAUUGAACCAUAAAUUUGGCAAGUUAUUGGAACAUGAUCGGAAUUAAAAAGUCCUGGAUGAGUUUCGAUUGAAGAUAUGUUUAAAUUCGAGUUUGUAAGUAAGAGGUCUAGAACUGAAGGUUGAGUAUUGUGCGUUCUCUGACAAAAACGUGUGUAGUUGUGUGGAUAUAAUAAUUAGAAAUCAACUGGUGGUUAUACAGCCUUCUACCAGCGGCGUUAAUUUCAUUACAGUUCUAGGUGGUGUUGUGAGCGUUGAAGUCUCCAAAUAUCAGAAAUUCAGAAUUUGGGUCUGUAAUCAAGUUUAAAUCAUCUAUGAAAGUAUUCGAGUAGCGAGGACAGUAUGCAGAUGUGAAUUUGAUUGGCCUGUUGUUAAUAAAGAUUAUUAUAGAAACGUUUUCAAUAUUAGUUGUUGAUGCCUUUAAUAUAUUAUGAUGGGGUA